rnacentral:tRNA from 1 species
UGGCUCAGUGGGUAAAGCGUCUGCCUACAAUGCAGGAGACCCAGGUUCGAUCCCUGG